rnacentral:lncRNA from 1 species
AUCUUCGCCUCCUUCCUCUGUAAUGUUUUCUAUUCCUCCCUUGAUUCUUCCUAUUUUAAUGUUUAUAAUACUCACUUUUCUUUCAUUUUCAUUGACAGUCUAUACCCUCUCCUUCAUCGGUCCAAACAUCAGAUAAGAGACCGAUUGAUACUGUACAAGUCACUUCUUCGCCGUCUUCAAAACGGCGUAAAUCAGUUGCUAAACGACAAUUUCGACAAGCCGAAGAUGCUCCUUCGGUUGGCAUUUUAGAAGACAAAGCCGAAGAUACACCUUCGGCUUCAAUCCCAGAAAUAAGAGCCGAAUGCAUGCCUCCGGUUGGUGUUCCAUCAGAAGAAACAAAAGUACCUACUUCGGCUACAGAACAAAGCCCUAUCCCGACCGAACCAAUUGAGAUCGAGGUAAGCCAAAUUAUUUGUCUGUACCCAAGUUUUCUCUUUCUUCAUUUAUUUAUCAUUUUCUUUUAACCCACAGUCCUCUCCUGAAAGAGUCUCUUUUACUCGUUCUUCGAAGGCGCAGAUGGAUAGACAGCUUCGCAGGGAAGCCCGUCUUGAGAAGAAACAAGGGGUCGAGAAAAAGAAAAAGUAUGUUGAAACAGUGGG